rnacentral:lncRNA from 1 species
AAUAGGGAAUCCUUUCCCCAUUGCUUAUUUUUCUCAGGUUUGUCAAAGAUCAGAUAGUUGUAGAUAUGUGGCAUUAUUUCUGAGGGCUCUGUUCUGUUCCAUUGAUCUAUAUCUCUGUUUUGGUACCAGUACCAUGCUGUUUUGGUUACUGUAGCCUUGUAGUAUAGUUUGAAGUCAGGUAGUGUGAUGCCUCCAGCUUUGUUCUUUUGGCUUCUCUCUUUUUUUCUUUAUUAGUCUUGCUAGUGGUCUAUCAAUUUUGUUGAUCCUUUGUCUCUAUUUCCUUCAGUUCUGCUCUGAUUUUAGUUAUUUCUUGCCUUCUGUGGUAUGUUGUGUCUUUGUUCUCGUUGGUUUCAAAGAACAUCUUUAUUUCUGCCUUCAUUUCCCAUCUGCUCUCUCCUCUCCGUGUCUCUGAUCAGGUAUCAGGGCUGUGUGUUGUUCCACAUCUGCUCUCUCCUCUCUGUGUCUCUGAUCAGGUAUCAGGGCUGUGUGUCGUUCCACAUCUGCUCUCUCCUCUCUGUGUCUCUG